UACGUAGGUGACAAGCGUUGUCCGGAUUUACUGGGCGUAAAGAGCGCGCAGGCGGUCGUUCAAGUCGAGUGUGAAAGCCCCCGGCUCAACUGGGGAGGGUCAUUCGAUACUGAUCGACUGGAAGGCAGGAGAGGGAAGUGGAAUUCCCGGUGUAGUGGUGAAAUGCGUAGAUAUCGGGAGGAACACUAGUGGCGAAGGCGACUUCCUGGCCUGUUCUUGACGCUGAGGCGCGAAAGCUAGGGGAGCAAACGGG
rnacentral:rRNA from 1 species